rnacentral:rRNA from 1 species
GAUGAACGCUGGCGGCGUGCCUAAUACAUGCAAGUCGAGCGAACAGACGAGGAGCUUGCUCCUCUGACGUUAGCGGCGGACGGGUGAGUAACACGUGGAUAACCUACCUAUAAGACUGGGAUAACUUCGGGAAACCGGAGCUAAUACCGGAUAAUAUAUUGAACCGCAGGGUUCAAUAGUGAAAGACGGUUUUGCUGUCACUUAUAGAUGGAUCCGCGCCGCAUUAGCUAGUUGGUAAGGUAACGGCUUACCAAGGCGACGAUGCGUAGCCGACCUGAGAGGGUGAUCGGCCACACUGGAACUGAGACACGGUCCAGACUCCUACGGGAGGCAGCAGUAGGGAAUCUUCCGCAAAGGGCGAAAGCCUGACGGAGCAACGCCGCGUGAGUGAUGAAGGUCUUCGGAUCGUAAAACUCUGUUAUUAGGGAAGAACAAAUGUGUAAGUAACUAUGCACGUCUUGACGGUACCUAAUCAGAAAGCCCCGGCUAACUACGUG